AUUACACUCCUGGAUACGGGAUUGUGCGUCGCAACAGGUUAAAACGGGAACGUUUGUCAUCCAAAAAUUAAAAUAGCGCCCUCUAAAUCCAAGAGGUUAAUGCAUUUGAGCCAAUCAGUUGUGUUGUGACAAGGUUAGGGGUGGUGUACAGAAGAUAGCCCCAUCUUAUCGCAAGAACAGCUCAAAUAAGCAAAGAGAAACAACAGUCCAUCAUUACUUUAAGACAUGAAGGUCAGUAUGCCAAGAACUUUGAUGCAGAAAAUUACAUUGAUAGAUUGUGCCCUUAUCUGCAAUAUUAAAGCUGGAAAAAAGCCAUUGUGAAUCUAUAUAACGUCAGGAAUAAAAUGAUGGGGAGGGAAGGAUGUACAAACAACCAAGUUCACAAAGUGGAGUGAUUUUGAUUAAUUUAAAGGGGCAUUAAAAGGGAGAGUGAUUAAUUUAAAGGGGCAUUAAAAGGGAGAGUGAUUCAUUUAAAUGGGCAUUCAAAGUGAGAGUGAUUCAUUUAAAGGGGCAUUCAAAGUGAGAGUGAUUCAUUUAAAGGGCAUUCAAGGUGAGAGUGAUUCAUUUAAAGGGGGAUUAAAAGUGAUUCAUUUAAAGGGGCAUUUAAAAGGGAGAGUGAUUCAUUUAAAGGGGCAUUAAAAGGGAGAGUGAUUCAUUUAAAGGGGCAUUAAAAGGGAGAGUGAAUCAUUUAAAGGUGCAUUUGGUGCCAAUUUUAGUUGCAUGAUUGUGUGUUGUUUAUCACUUGCCUGAAGAGACAGAGGGAGGGAUAGAGAGAGAAAAUGAGAGAGAAAAGAGGGAGUGAGGUAACGAAAGAGGGAACAGAGAGAGUGAGGUAACUUGAGAGGGAACAGAGAGAAUGAGGUAACUAGGGAGGGAACAGUGGGAGUGAGGUAACGAAAGAGGGAACAGAGAGAGUGAGGUAACGAGAGAGGGAACAGAGAGAGUGAGGUAACGAAAGAGGGAACAGAGGGAGUGAGGUAACGAAAGAGGGAACAGAGGGAGUGAGGUAACGAAAGAGGGAACAGAGGGAGUGAGGUAACGAAAGAGGGAACAGAGAGAGUGAGGUAACGAAAGAGGGAACAGAGGGAGUGAGGUAACGAAAGAGGGAACAGAGGGAGUGAGGUAACGAAAGAGGGAACAGAGGGAGUGAGGUAACGAAAGAGGGAACAGAGAGAGUGAGGUAACGAGAGAGGGAACAGAGAGAGUGAGG